CUAUUGCUAGUCUCUUGGUGCCUCAACAUCUCUCAUUGGUUCUCCCAACCUUGCCUGCUCCUCUGUGAGUAGUACCUUCAUUAAAUUUUCUCUAAACUCCCAUUUUUCUGUUUCCUCAUAGGGCCCUGAGUAUGAGGAGGUGGGACAGAGAGUGGGUGGCAGUUUGUAAUAUGUCCUCAAGGAGUUGGACUGUCUUGGCUCAGCUAUUUGGGUAUUAAUAAAUUUGCCAGUGGGAGGAACUUUAAGAAAAUUGCAGUGAUUGGUUCUACUCUGUGUGAUGUCAUCAGAGGAGGGUGGAGCUUUGUGGCUAGGGCAGUCCUCCACUUCCGGAGAUCCAGGCUCCAGAAACAGAGGAAUUUCAGGCUUCAGGAUUUCAGAGGCCAAAUUCCAUCUGGCCUAGUCUGCCUGGCUCACGAUAAGAAAACCGAAGUUCACCAAAGUAAAGUGACUUGUCCAAGACCUCACAGCUAUCAAGUAGAGAAACUGGGAUUUGGAUGCAGGUCUGUCUGACUCCAGACACCGCGAUCUUAACCAUCGAGGCAGAGUUUCUACCUUUUAGGAAUUUCCAAAUAGAGGAGACAACCUCAGGACUUGAACAAUGCAGAAACACAGUCAAAAAUACAAAGAGCUAGGGAGUGAUGCCUAUAUUGUGCUGUGAGGGUUAAUAUCGCUUCCUGUCAAAGGACAAUCUAAGGGAGGUGAUAUUUGUUAAUAUACAAGGUUUUUUUUAAAAGAAGGGGUCAGCUUUGAACACAGUAGUGAUCGCAACUGGGGAGAAGAGCAACCAGGAAGAGGAUAUAUCAUAAGCAAAAGCACUGGUGUGGGAAAGAAUAGGGAUUUGGUGGGAAGUGUGAACGAUACCACUGGUUGGUGUGAAAAUACAGGCAAACCCGAAUAGCUCAUGUCCUCUCAAAUGUUUGUUCAGAAGCCACCAUCUCAGUGAUGCCUAAGCUGACAAUCCCAUUUACAGAUGCAUCAAAAUUUGCCCUCCUUGUUCCUCUUUUCUGCUCUAUUUUUUCUCCAAAGAACUUUUCACCUCUAAUAGACAAUGUACCUUCCCUG
rnacentral:lncRNA from 10 species